rnacentral:rRNA from 1 species
AGGGCGGUCGGUGGAUGCCUUGGCAUCAAGAGCCGAUGAAGGACGUUGUAACCUGCGAUAAGCCAUGGGGAGUUGGUAAACGAGCUUUGAUCCGUGGAUUUCCGAAUGGGGUAACCUCGAAGGUGACCGGAGUUGUGUCCGGCGACCUCCACCUGAAUGUAUAGGGUGGUUGGAGGGAACGUGGGGAAGUGAAACAUCUUAGUACCCGCAGGAAGAGAAAACAAUUGUGAUUCCGUGAGUAGUGGCGAGCGAAAGCGGAUGAGGCUAAACCUGGUGUGUGUGAUAGUUGACAGGCGUUGCAUGCUGGGGGUUGUGGGGGCGUUUUGGUCAUGCUGUCGGAUGGCCGGCGAGUUAGAAAAGGUCUGCUGAGUCGAAUCAUCUGGAAUGGUGAGGCGUAGUGCGUGAUACCCGUGUAGGUGUAGGCAGGUCUCUCGUGAACGUUUUUCCCCGAGUAGUACGGGACUCCUGGAAUCUCGUGUGAAUCUGGCGGGACCACCCGCUAAGCCUAAAUACUCCUUGAUGACCGAUAGUGUAUUAGUACCGUGAGGGAAUGGUGAAAAGUACCCCGGGAGGGGAGUGAAAUAGUACCUGAAACCGGCCGCUUAUAAUCCGUCGGGGCCCUGCUUUUUGUGGGGUGACGGCGUGCCUUUUGAAGAAUGAGCCUGCGAGUUAGUGGUGUGUGGCGAGGUUAACCUGUGUGGGGGAGCCGUAGCGAAAGCGAGUCCGAAUAGGGCGUUUGAGUCGCAUGCUCUAGACCCGAAGCGAAGUGAUCUAUCCAUGGCCAGGGUGAAGCGUCGGUAAGACGACGUGGAGGCCCGAACCCACUUGGGUUGAAAACCGAGGGGAUGAGUUGUGGAUAGGGGUGAAAGGCCAAUCAAACUUCGUGAUAGCUGGUUCUCCCCGAAAUGCAUUUAGGUGCAGCGUCGUCUGUUUCUUGCCGGAGGUAGAGCACUGGAUGGUCUAGGGGGCCUACAAGCUUACCGAAAUCAGCUAAACUCCGAAUGCCGGUAAGUGAGAGGGCGGCAGUGAGACUGUGGGGGAUAAGCUUCAUAGUCGAGAGGGAAACAGCCCAGAUCAUCAGCUAAGGCCCCUAAGGGACUGCUAAGUGGAAAAGGAUGUGGAGUUGCUGUGACAACCAGGAGGUUGGCUUGGAAGCAGCCAUCCUUGAAAGAGUGCGUAAUAGCUCACUGGUCAAGUGAUCCUGCGCCGAAGAUCCAACGGGGCUUAAGCCUAUCACCGAAGCUUGGGUAGCAGUCUAUUAGGCUGCUAGGUAGGAGAGCGUUCCCUGGCGAGCGAAGUAAGACCGUAAGGACUUAUGGACGGCAGGGAAGUGAGAAUGCCGGUAUGAGUAGCGAUAAGGCAGGUGAGAAUCCUGCCCGCCGAAAACCUAAGGUUUCCUGAGGAAGGGUCGUCCGCUCAGGGUAAGUCGGGACCUAAGCUGAGGGCGAAAGCCGUAGGCGAUGGACAAUCGGUUGAUAUUCCGAUACCACCCUGGAACCGCCCAUGGGAAUCACAGGCCUUGUGUUAUGGCCUCGGCCAUGGCAAUAGGCUUAUGAGGACCAAGCGAUGGGGUGACGCAGAAGGGUAGGCCAUCAGGCGACUGGAAGUGCCUGUCCAAAGGUGUAGGAGGUGGCAUAGGCAAAUCCGUGCCACAUAUACUCCGAGGCCUGAUGGGGACGCGAAAUUGUAGUAGCGGAACUGGCUGACCCCAUGCUGCCAAGAAAAGCCUCUAGCGAGGGGCCAGGGUGCCCGUACCGCAAACCGACACAGGUAGGUGGGGUGAGAAUCCUAAGGCGCGCGAGAGAACUCUCGUUAAGGAACUCGGCAAACUAACCCUGUAACUUCGGGAGAAAGGGUGCCCUGUUAGUGUGGCAUAGGCAUGCUUUAUGCUGCAUGAGAGGGCCGCAGAGAAAUGGCCCAAGCGACUGUUUAUCAAAAACACAGGUCUCUGCUAAGUCGAAAGACGAAGUAUAGGGGCUGACGCCUGCCCAGUGCCGGAAGGUUAAGGGGAAGGGUUAGCGCAAGCGAAGCUCUGAACCGAAGCCCCGGUGAACGGCGGCCGUAACUAUAACGGUCCUAAGGUAGCGAAAUUCCUUGUCGGGUAAGUUCCGACCCGCACGAAUGGCGUAACGACUUGGGCGCUGUCUCAACAAGGGACCCGGCGAAAUUGUAGUAUGUGUGAAGAUGCACAUUACCCGCGAUAGGACGGAGAGACCCCGUAGAGCUUCACUGUAACUUGACAUUGA